GCUGGAAUGGCCGAGUCGUUAAGGCGAUAGAUUUGAACUUUCAUCAUCUAUUACUCUCUGAGUGCGUAGGUUCAAAUCCUGCUUCCAGCG